GAGUUUGAUCUUGGCUCAGAUUGAACGCUGGCGGCAUGCCUUACACAUGCAAGUCGAACGGCAGCACGGGAGCUUGCUCCUGGUGGCGAGUGGCGAACGGGUGAGUAAUGCAUCGGAACGUAUCCUGGAGUGGGGGAUAACGUAGCGAAAGUUACGCUAAUACCGCAUAUUCUGUGAGCAGGAAAGCGGGGGACCUUCGGGCCUCGCGCUCUUGGAGCGGCCGAUGCCGGAUUAGCUAGUUGGUGAGGUAAAGGCUCACCAAGGCGACGAUCCGUAGCAGGUCUGAGAGGAUGAUCUGCCACACUGGAACUGAGACACGGUCCAGACUCCUACGGGAGGCAGCAGUGGGAAUUUUGGACAAUGGGGGCAACCCGUGAUCCAGCCAUGCCGCGUGAGUGAAGAAGGCCU
rnacentral:rRNA from 1 species